rnacentral:rRNA from 1 species
UACGUAGGGCGCAAGCGUUGUCCGGAAUUAUUGGGCGUAAAGAGCUCGUAGGCGGCUUGUCACGUCGGGUGUGAAAGCCCGGGGCUUAACCCCGGGUCUGCAUUCGAUACGGGCUGGCUGGAGUGUGGUAGGGGAGAUCGGAAUUCCUGGUGUAGCGGUGAAAUGCGCAGAUAUCAGGAAGAACACCCGUGGCUAAGGCGGCUCUCUAGUACGGUACUGACGCUGAGACGCGAAAGCGUGGGGAGCGAACAGG